CAAACCAUAUCAGAAGAAGUACUGAAGAGUCACUCAAAGCAAGUAAAUACCAUGUAUCUGAGUUACUGUUAGAUACUCUUUGAAGAAGCCUUUGAAUAAAGAGUACAUUUCUGGAAACACGUGGUUAGUCAGGUGGUGACUAAAGUGGUUGCUCACAGGCACAACUGACUGCAGGCUCCACAGAGCAGCUUUUGGAGUCUAAGAUCACUGCCAAAAAAAGAACAGAGGUAUGGGAGGGCCCUUUCUGAUUAUAACUGUAAAACUCUCAAGAGAUGAGCUUCAGACAGAGGAGAGAUCACUAUCCCUAGUUUUCAGAAAAGCAGCUUACGCCUCAAGACUUUUAAACAUUUUGCCCAUAGUUUCAUAAAAAGUUACUGGUAGAAUGGUGGCUAGCUCCAGCUGUUUUUUUUUUCCCCCUAGGGCGAUGUUCUCUACACUGCACUAAAUGGAGAACAGCUCCACUGCUUCUUUUCUCCUGAGCACAUUGUCUGUGAACAAAUGUUUAGAAAAGAGAAAACAUUUCAAUGAAAGAGGAAACAGGAAAUUCCAACAGAUCAGCAACAGUUGGAGUGCUAACCUGUCAGUGGAAUGGAAAAAAGAAAAAAUGCUCUUGUUGACACAUCUUUUCCUUGUUUUUGACACAAAUUAGGUAACUCCCUGACUUACUGUCUCUUCACAAAAUUGGUGGGGGUGUGAAAAAUGUCUAUGCAGUAUAUAGAGAUAUUCAUAACAAAGACUUAUGCUAUGAAAAAUGUCCUUUGUUCACAAAAGAAAGAAUAACUCAUGCUCUACAUAAUUUGCACCUAUAUAUUUUGCUGUUGUAAAUCCUAGUUUGCUCACUAAGCUGAAGUUCAUUUUCUCACCGUGAUUCUUGAGCCCAAAACUCUGAUGAAUCAAAAGGAUCAAAUAUUGGGCUCCUACAUUUUAUGUGCAGUAGUUGUGCAGUUCACCUCACUGCGUCUGCAUUAAAGCCCCCACUUUAAUGAAAAGGAUUGUUUUUUAUUCUCAAAAGCAAUUUUGAAAUUCUGACUCAGAGACUUUUUAUUCCUGUCUUGUGUUUCCUGAAAGAAUAAUCCCAGAUACAAAGAUAAUUACCCUAUUUUUGAUUAUUUAAAAAUAUAUUCAAUAUUCACUCAAAAAUAUAUAUGAUUUCUGGUUUUGAUAAUUGUAUUAGGGUGAUAUAUAAUGUUAAUACUAGGGGAAACAAAGUGAAAGGAAUGGAAACAUAAAAAGAAAAAUAUUUAUUGACCUGCUACCGUGGGCCAGAAAUUGUGUGAGGUACUUGGUAUACAAUGGUGAUUAACCAGACAGAACCAAUAAUUCCCUCCUCUCCUCAUUUAGUUAUGAAGUUGUCAUUUAAUCAUACCAAAGUCUUUUUGCCUGCAAUUGAAGGUAAUUUGUAUUUUAUUCUCUUCUAGAAACCUUGAUUUUACUACUUACUGAGCAUUUACAGCAUGUUAAGCACUUAUUCCUAGGUGUUUUCCAUAUUUGAUUAUUUCAUUCUUACAAUGCACCGACUGAGAAAGUGUUAUUACCCACAAUUUGCAGAUGAGGAAACAAGUGUGAGUAAGUUAAAUUAGUUACCUCAUAUAUAAAGUGGUUGAGGCUGGGCAUGGUGGCUCACACCUGUAAUCUCAGCACUUUGAGAGGCCGAGGGUGGAUGCUUGAGGUCAGGAGUUCAAGAUCAGCCUGGCCAAUAUGGCAAAACCCCAUCUCUACUAAAAACACAAAAAUUAGCUGGGUGUGGUUGGGUGCCUGUAAUUCCAGCUACUCAGGAGGCUGAGGAAGGAGAAUCACUGGAACCCGGGAGGUGGAGGUUGCAGUGAGCUGAGAUUGUGCCACUGCAUUCCAGCCUAGGCAAUAAGAGCGAAACUCCAUCUCAAUAAUAAUAAUAAUAAAAUAAAUAAUAAUAAAGUGGCCAAGCUGGGACUUACUUUCACAUGGGAUCAUCUAAAUCCAUAGAAUGUUCUCAUCUCACCUCACAGUCCAUCACUGAUGACGAACACCUCCAUGCCAUGUCCUUCCAGACUUAAAUAUUCUCUCAGGAUAAAGACUGCCAGAUUCCUUU
ensembl:lncRNA